CAAAGGAGGAGAACGGGCUCGCCUCCUCUCCCUCUCGCUCAAGUCCUCGCCGCCGCCGCCACCACCCACGCCGGCAGCUUCCGGCGAGCUCCGACGCCGCGCAGCACGCCCCCCAACUCCCCAGAGUCCGCUCCUCCCUACCCUCCGGCCAGAUUCUCCGCUCCCGGCCUCUACCGCCCGCUCGAAACGCCACCCCCAUGGCUAGGGUUUCGGGCAGGGCUUCGCCGGCGCGUCUCCGGCGGCCCAGAUGCAGAUGGAGCACGCCAUGGGAAUUCCCCAUCCACCAUGGUCGCCGCCAUCAAGGGCUUCUUCACGGAGAUGUGGAGGACGCCAUGUACCUGCAGCUCCACACAUCCCCUCCCCUCCCCUUCCCGUCCCUUCCUCAUCUCGUUUCCUUCCCUUCCCAUGCAGGUCAACAGGGAGGAACCCUAGCCAUAAGCACCUCCUCGGAUGACGCCUCUGCUACACCAAGAUAGAGAUAUAUAUGAUAUCUACAUGGCUGCUAUGCUACUUUUUUUGUGUGAUGAAUCAUUGUGAGUUUCGAAGAAACUUCCAAUGUUACCUCCGCCAAGUUUGCCGGCAGAAGAAGCACAUCCAUUGAGCCGUUCAAUGUCGCCUGCGGUGGCUACACCAGAGGUAUGUAUCCCCUUGAAAGCUAAUCAGUUGAUAGAAAUAGAAGCCCCUAUUUCAGUUUAUUGUUUCUGAAUUGGUGCUACUUCUGAUGGCUCUUGUUUCAGUUUAUUGUUUCUGAAUUUAUACUUUGAAUUUAGUAGAUAGAAGCCCCUGAAAUUUGACCCAUCUAUGUUAUGUCACAUC